UCCUCGGAGGAGCCUCCACUGCCAGCCGCUCACCGCGGGAGCAGACAAUGACCUCCUGAAGCCGCGGACCAAACAGUAUGUUUCACAAAUGGAGCCUGUAAAAGUACGGGCCGGGGCAGCUGGUAAAUCGCGCAGAGACGUCUGGUGUGCAGCGUAGUCCCCGUAUGGGAGGAGGGUACCCUGUAUGGGGGGAUUUGCUGACCAAUAGAGCUGCCGCCAGCGAUCUUGGGGGUAGAUUGAGCAAAUCUGGGGUGACCGCUGCAUCCCAGUAUCGGGAGCCAGGACGGACCUGUCGAUGACUGGUAUAUAAGAGGCAGGAGAAGGGUAAGCGGACCCCCUCGCAAUUGUGCUUGGUACAUUUUUGCAGCUGCUGAAAGGUUGUCAACUGGAACGAUGAUUGUAUGAUGAGAAUGUUUGGAAACUUAAUGUUAAAGAUUUUGUGUGAGUAUGUGGAAAUGUUAUGUUGAGAUUAAUAUGUGUAUAUAUGCUCGUUAAUGUGUAAAUGUCUAAGACUGUGGAUUGAAUGUUUGAGUAAAAGAGACACAGCUCAGCUGCGGAGCGUGUGUGGAGUUCUGAUCCACAGUUUCGUAACUCCACAAGGGGUACGGCCGGAGACGAACGAAGUGUGACUCAUUGAUGAUUUGGAACUUGAAUUUAUAUGUUAGCGUUGUAAUUUUAAGUUUGAGUCUGAUUAUCUUAAUCAUUUUGUGGUGUUGGUAUAAGAAAGUCCCUGUAUGGUGCAUUGCAUAAAUGUGGGUAUUUGA